rnacentral:rRNA from 1 species
AUUGAACGCUGGCGGCAUGCUUUACACAUGCCAGUCGAACGGCAGCGGGGAGGAGCUUGCUUCUCUGCCGGCGAGUGGCGAACGGGUGAGUAAUACAUCGGAACGUGUCGAGAAGAGGGGGAUAACCACCCGAAAGGGUGGCUAAUACCGCAUAAAUUCUGAGGAAGAAAGCUGGGGACCUAGGAAUAGGCCUAGCGCUUUUUGAGCGGCCGAUGUCGGAUUAGCUAGUUGGUGAGGUAAAGGCUCACCAAGGCGAAGAUCUGUAGCGGGUCUGAGAGGAUGAUCCGCCACACUGGGACUGAGACACGGCCCAGACUCCUACGGGAGGCAGCAGUGGGGAAUUUUGGACAAUGGGGGCAACCCUGAUCCAGCCAUGCCGCGUGUAUGAGGAAGGCCUUAGGGUUGUAAAGUACUUUUGUUAGGGAAGAAAAGUCAGCUGUGAAUAAUGGCUGAUACUGACGGUACCUAAAGAAUAAGCACCGGCUAACUACGUG